GUGGAUUAGAUACCCUGGUAGUCCACGCCGUAAACUAUGAAUGCUAGCUAUUGGCGAUAUACAGUCAGUGGCACAGAGAAAUCGUUAAGCAUUCCACCUGGGGAGUACGCCGGCAACGGUGAAACUCAAAGGAAUUGACGGGGGCCCGCACAAGCGGAGGAACAUGUGGUUUAAUUCGAUGAUACGCGAGGAACCUUACCCGGGUUUGAACGCAGGGGGAAUACAGUGGAAACAUUGUAGCUAGCAAUAGCCGCCUGCGAGGUGCUGCACGGUUGUCGACAGCU
rnacentral:rRNA from 1 species